CACAAAGAUAAUUACAAAUAUACGUACUAUUCUACGUACCUUACACUAUUUUUCCACGUAGUCCCCACAUCGGUUCAGACAUUUGUCCCAUCGCAGCACUAAAUUUCAGAUGCCCCUGUGGUAGAAUU
rnacentral:lncRNA from 1 species